GUGACCUCAAAUCAGGUAGGACUACCCGCUGAACUUAAGCAUAUCAAUAAGCGGAGGAAAAGAAACUAACAAGGAUUCCCCUAGUAACUGCGAGUGAAGCGGGAAAAGCUCAAAUUUAAAAUCUGUCAGUCUUUGGCUGUCCGAGUUGUAAUCUAGAGAAGUGUUAUCCGCGCUGGACCGUGUACAAGUCUCCUGGAAUGGAGCGUCAUAGAGGGUGAGAAUCCCGUCUUUGACACGGACUGCCAGGGCUUUGUGAUACGCUCUCAAAGAGUCGAGUUGUUUGGGAAUGCAGCUCAAAAUGGGUGGUAAAUUCCAUCUAAAGCUAAAUAUUGGCGAGAGACCGAUAGCGAACAAGUACCGUGAGGGAAAGAUGAAAAGAACUUUGGAAAGAGAGUUAAACAGUACGUGAAAUUGCUGAAAGGGAAACGCUUGAAGUCAGUCGCGUUGUCCAGGGAUCAGCCUUGCUUUUGCUUGGUGUACUUUCUGGUUGACGGGUCAGCAUCAAUUUUGACUGUUGGAAAAAGGUCGGGGGAAUGUGGCAUCUUCGGAUGUGUUAUAGCCCUUGGUUGCAUACAAUGGUUGGGAUUGAGGAACUCAGCAC
rnacentral:rRNA from 2 species